GGUUGCCGUAAAAAGAUUUUUGACAACACAAAACAAAAAAAUAUUGUAAUAUUAACUAUUUAUAAAAUUGUAGUUCGUAGUAAAAAAAAAAAAAACAAAAAAAACACCCGAAAACAUAUCUACUAGAAGAAUGAAAGAUAAAGUACAAAUGGUUGUUGAGGGUUGUAGGAUGCCAGUUCAUAUGUCCAACUCUGAUGAAUGGCCAUUGGCAGAAGUGGUUAGUAAAAAGGAAAAUCAAGAUGGAGUUUUUGAAUUUUAUGUUCACUACAUUGAUUAUAACAAACGUCUUGAUGAAUGGGUUAGUAUUGAUCGUCUCGAUCUGACAAAAAUACAACCUCCAAAAACAGAAGAGAAAAAAAAAACUUUAUCACAACAGUCUGUGUCAUCAAAACAAAAUCAAAAUUCAUCAAAACAAAAUCCGAACCAAAUAAGCUUACCUGGAUCACCUGACCUUGAGCAAGUAAAUGGAAUUAACCUAACUCAGUUUCCAUCAUCUUCCCUUGUGCGAAAUAAAUCAAAUAGUUCUUUUGGUAGAAAGAGAAAGGCUGUUCAAGAUGAAGUUAAUUUUGAAAAUGAGAGUUCAUAUUCAAAAAACUCAGAAAAUAAAACAAGCAGCCUUCGUAGCGGAGGAAGUAUGACAGUACACCAUGAUGAUGUUAUAACACGAGUAAAAAAUGUUGAGAUGAUAGAGGUUGGUAAACAUAGAAUCAAACCCUGGUACUUUGCUCCUUAUCCAAUUGAAUUAACUCGUCUACCGUGUAUUUAUAUAUGUGAAUUUUGUCUAAAGUAUAUGAAAAGUUUAACAUGUCUUAGAAGACAUAGGGAAAAAUGCACUCUUUUUCACCCUCCUGGAAAUGAAAUAUACCGUAAAGAUAAUACAUCUUUUUUUGAGAUUGAUGGAAGAAAACACAAAGCUUAUUCACAAAACCUAUGUUUACUAGCAAAACUGUUUCUUGAUCACAAGACAUUAUACUAUGAUACAGACCCCUUUCUGUUUUAUGUUAUGACAGAAUUCGACAGUGAAGGUUUUCACAUUGUUGGUUACUUUUCAAAGGAAAAGGAGUCAAGUGAAGACUAUAAUGUUGCUUGUAUAUUAACGCUACCACAAUACCAACGAAAUGGUUUAGGAAAAUUGCUCAUAGAGUUCAGUUAUGAGCUUUCAAAGUUUGAAGGGAAGUCUGGACACCCUGAAAAGCCACUUUCAGAUUUAGGUUUGUUAUCCUAUCGCAGCUAUUGGUCACAGACAAUCUUGGAGAUACUACUACAGCUAAAAAGUGAAGAGGGUGCUACUCCUGUUAUUACAAUAAACUUUAGGUAUCAGUCUGUUUUAGACCGGUAUUCUGUUUUUUAAUUUCAAAGUUUUGGUCGGUCAAGUCUUCUGAUAAGAUGUUCUAAUUCAAUUAGGAAGAAUUUUCAAACAACAAUUAUCAGCAUGAGCUUGAAAGUGAAGUUUGCUGCUUUUAUCAAAAUGAAAACCUGCCAUGAAAUUUUUUGCGAAAUAUGUGAGAUGACGAGUAUUCGUAAGGAGGAUGUUAUUUCAACUUUACAGCAUCUAAACUUGCUUCAGUAUUAUAAAGGCCAAUAUGUGAUAU
rnacentral:misc_RNA from 1 species